UCCUGGAGGAAGACUGUAUUGCCCUGUUCACUAUGUUCAAAAGAAAGGCCUAUGUGUAUAACAAAGUGCAAGCAUAUAGGGCGGCUCUGUCUAACAAUGCAAUCAUUGUUCUCUCGCCAAGCUCUGCUAAACAAGGUGCAUUUUGUACCCAUCUUGUUUAAUUAAAACUCUGUUUCUUCUUGAAGAAAAAUAACAUUCAACAUCAAACAGCACUAUCAUUUUAUGAUACAGAAUGCAGUACAUUUAUAAGGGAGAUAAGCUGUCCAGGAAUGUGUUCCAAUGAACAGGAAUGACAGAAGAGAUCUGAAUCGUCCUUUUGUGAUAUUUGGUUGACCUUGAGUGACUGAUGACCAAGGAAAAGAAAAGGAGGGGGAUGCGCUUCUAGCCUUUGCCUUUGGCUAUACACCUUGCAGUUACAAUCUUUCCUGCGACCAUUGGCCAGAGCAAAAUCUUUCGUCUCUGAUGCUCCUGCGAUAUCAGCUGUCUCAGUAAUCCACCAAUCAUGCACCGAAUAUUGUACAAAACUAGGUUUCAUGUGAUAAUAUCGGUGUGUGUGUAUGGCCACCUUAAAGCUGAUACUCAGCUCAGACUAUCUUUGCUGCUCAGUAUCUGCUGGAGUAACCUUCUACAAAAAAAACAUUUACUGAAUAAACAAGAUUGUGCACCCUG